rnacentral:rRNA from 1 species
GACGAACGCUGGCGGCGUGCUUAACACAUGCAAGUCGAACGGAAAGGCCUCUUUCGGGGGGUACUCGAGUGGCGAACGGGUGAGUAACACGUGAGUAACCUGCCCUUGACUUUGGGAUAACUUCAGGAAACUGGGGCUAAUACCGGAUAGGAGCUCCUGCUGCAUGGUGGGGGUUGGAAAGUUUCGGCGGUUGGGGAUGGACUCGCGGCUUAUCAGCUUGUUGGUGGGGUAGUGGCUUACCAAGGCUUUGACGGGUAGCCGGCCUGAGAGGGUGACCGGCCACAUUGGGACUGAGGUACGGCCCAGACUCCUACGGGAGGCAGCAGUGGGGAAUAUUGCACAAUGGGUGGAAGCCUGAUGCAGCAACGCCGUGUGUGGGAUGACGGCCUUCGGGUUGUAAACCGCUUUCGCUCAUGACGAAGCUUUGUGUGACGGUAGUGGGUAAAGAAGCACCGGCUAACUACGUG